GCUGGAGUGGCGAAACUGGCAGACGCACAGGACUUAAAAUCCUGCGGUGCUAACACACCGUACCGGUUCGAUCCCGGUCUUCAGCACCA
rnacentral:tRNA from 1 species